rnacentral:lncRNA from 1 species
CUGGUGCCAAUAGUCGAAAGAAGACUGCGGCUGGUGCCACGACGAACCUCUGGCCUGCUCAGGAGGAGGUGGCCUGGGCGUCGACUACUCUGGUAGACGUGGACGCGGGUGGUGUCGAGGGUGCGGUGCUUCCUGCUGAUGUGGCCGCUGCUGGUGCGUGGAGUGACGAGGGGGCCGUACGGAUGCCUGGUGGUGAACGACGUCCGAAGUGCGGGUGCACGUGAUAGCCGCGUAAACAGAGCGUAGCUUCUCCUCCAUUC